rnacentral:rRNA from 1 species
UACAGAGGGGGCAAGCGUGUCGCUGGAAUUACUGGGCGUAAAGGGCGCGUAGGCGGGAUGGCAAGUCGGUCGUGAAAUCCUUCGGCUCAACCGAAGAACGUCGAUCGAUACUGCUGUUCUUGAGGGUUGCAGAGGAGACUGGAAUUCCCGGUGUAGCGGUGAAAUGCGUAGAUAUCGUAAGGAAGACCAGUGGCGGAAGGCGGGU